GUGUCAUGAAGUGGUGGUUUGUUGGUGAGAAUUUAAACGCGGAGAGGCCCAGGAUGAAGUGGAGAACGUUUUUAAUGAAGUCCAAACAAAACUCAACGCCAGGAACCCCAGGUGAGGAGGGGACAGAACUCAGGAAGACGACAAUGACAAAUGACAAGGAUCCAAACCGGACACAGAGACACAGAAAGCAAUGCAUUUGUGUUGGCAACAGUUUGACACCGGAGGACAUCCCAUAAGGUUGUAUUCUUGGACCAUGCCUUUUUUUAAUGUUGCCUCCAGAGUCGGUCUGCUGACAGCUUCUGAGGUGAGCGAUCCCCCUCUUGCUGUGGAAGGGGUCGGAUGCAGAGGUCUGUGGAAGCUGUUGGAGUGUGUGUUCUGCCCUGCGCAGGGCACAAACGUUCUUGCUGCACUGAUUUCCGAUAAGUCUUCACCUCCUCCGCUGUUCAUGGCCUGCGGCUCCAUCCUCCUUCUCCUCUGCAGUCGAUCAAUUGACUGACACUGCUGACCAGCUCCCACAGCACACCGCCCAGGGAGUGGAGUUAUUGGAGUCGUGUGUGUGUGCGGGUGUGUGUGUGUGUGUGCUGCCUCGGAUACUUUCUGGUGGGGCUGUGCUUGCUGUAAUGUUUGAAUAAUAUUAAAAACAGAAAAGUAACUCAAA